GAUUGAAACAAAUGAGUUAUUUUGAUAGGAGCUUGAUGGGUUUUUUUAAAACUCUGGUUUCAUUUCUUUUUCCCUCGUUUUCUCUGAACCAAACAGAAACGUAUAAUUGAUUCAUUGAAAAUUUGGUUUGUUCUGUUCUUUUCUGAAUUUGGGAUUCACUGUACUGAUCUGAUUAUAUUGAGAUUUCAGAAAAAGGGCUAAAUAUGUCUAUGAUCAGUUCAUUUUUAAAAUUUCUCCUUUGUGUAUUCUGUUUGGUUCCCAGGAUAACAGGGAGAAAAUUGUGAAUAGGGAAAACUGAAACAUAACAGAUUAUUUAUUAUUCUUGACAACCAAAGAGUGCCUUGCAAGAUCUGUUUUUCGUAAUUUUUUGAAAAUGGUCUGCGUGAAAAAUCUGUACCUAGAAAAUGUUGUGGUUUAUGGGGCUCUUUAACAUUUGGUGUUACUUUGAGUUUUUGUGUAGUUAGAAUCAUUGCAACCUUUGAACAUUGAAAGUUCAUUUAGUUAAAAGUUAUGAAUGGAAUUUAGUUUUUUUGGAAAGUUUUGUUCCAAUGGUUAAUGGGUCGAUGAGCUUUCAUACGAAAUCUGUGGGGCUUUUGUGAACACAUUGUUGAAAUCCCGUGUCUUGUGUGUGUCUGUUUGUUGAAUACCAGAUAAGAGUGACCAUUGUAAGUAAAUUUAAAACGUGGAAGUGAAGAUUUAUGACAUGGUAGGAAGAGUCGUAUUUGUUAGGGGUGUUUGAUUUUAUGCAUGCCUAUUGCAGUAUGUAUACUACAAGUCUUUUUGUGAGCUGGGUUUGUCAUGCAGUAGAAUGAUCUUAAAUAUUAUUUAUAUUUUCUUGGUUUAGUGCAGAAGAGAUUUUAGUGUGUACAGAUUUUGUUUUUACAUGCUGCUCUUUGCCUCUCUCCCCAUCCCCUUUAAAGUUUUAACAAUUUUAGAUAAGUGGGCAACUUCCUAGAAUGCUCUCUGCAAAUUUGUUAAAUUUGGAACAUAAUCUCCAAUAAGGCAAUAACUUACUUUGGGAUUGGCCAAUGACUUUUAGCUCAAAUGAUACUUCUUCAUCCCUCAAUUAUGGGAUGGAUGCCAAGGUGGUGGGUUCAAGAUCCAUUGGGUGUAUGUGUAACUUACUAAUUUCUUAAAAACAAAACUUACUUUGGGUAUUGGAAAUAUAUGCUUUUGGCAGAGUUGGUUGCUACUAUUUUUUAGCUAUUAUGGAGCAGCCACUGAAAGUAGAAAUCAUCUCUGCUAUGAUUGUAGCUUUUCAAGAAAAUCUUUGUAGGAUCCUGAUUUUUUGUGAAAUAGCAGGAAGUGUCCAUCUCUUGGAAUGCUGACAGAGUGGUCCAUUAAGAAUUGGAAAGGGAGUAAGUGACAGAUUAAUAAAGAAAAAAGAUGGAGAAAGUUGUUCAUUUUCCAAAACUCCCUAUUGAGUUUCUCAUGCGGCCUUCUUCUAACAACAACAGAGAUGUUUUAAUCAAAACGAUACCUUCUGCAUCAAAGCCUGAGAUCAAGAGGGUUCUGGAAUCAGUAUAUGGUUGCGAAGUUGAAAAGGUACGGACACUAAAUAUGCGAGGAAAGAAAAAGAUGAGAGGGGGGCGCUUGAUUGCAAGACCAGAUUACAAGAAGGCUUAUGUGACUCUAAAGAAUCCUUCAUCCUUCUCUCCCGACAUGAAUCCUAUCCAUUUAGUUAAAGAGGAAAAGAAUAAAUAAAGUCAAAUUCAAGCAUCGUCACAAAGUGAGGAAUCUCACUAGCUUGACUAGGAUUUAAUUUUGAGAAGUAAUCAAGUCAGGGAGGCAGAAGUGGCAUUUAUGUUGAUCCAGCAUCGCCCAUCGGUUCUAUUCCAGAUUCAUAACUAGAAAGUUUCUCAUAUUAAUUCAACAGCCCUUUUCAUUGCUUUUCGAAAUGAAACUCUAUUCUUUAAUUGUUUAGCUAUAAAUUCUCCAUGAACUGUAGUUUAUGGGAGAGCCCACAGACACUGGAAUGUCUAAGUUUCCACAAAGCAGAACGUGUCUAUCGACUAUCAAGGUAGUUAGGCUCUUGGGGAAAGAUUUUUGUCUAUUUUGAAGUUUAGGUUAGGGCUAUCCAAGGGAUUUGACAAAUCGACCCACCCAGAGUGACCGAGAAGAACCGAUUUGAUCUGGUGACUAUAGUGGUUAAAGGCAGGUUGAGUCUCCGUUUCUUUCCUCUUCCUUAUAAAAAAAACCCAACCAAACUUUGGCAAGAUCUCAGCCAUAUUUGGCUAGAUCUCGGCAAAUCUGGUGAGUUUCACUAGAUUCAACAAGAUCUCACUGGAUCUUUGUUGUUUUUCGUCAGAAUCACGAUCAUCGCUACCUCUCUUGAUUUCAACCGAAACAGAUCCAACCCGUGGAACAACCAACUUAUUUCGACCCGUUGAAGUUAUCGGUUAGCGGCGGAUCUUAUGUUCUGCCACCCGCCAGCAUCGAGGUUAGUCUAAGUAGAGCCCAAACCCAAUCCGGACUGAACCAUGGACAAUCCUAAUAUUAGUAUCUUUAUUUACAUGGAUUUGGAAAUGAUAAAUGCCCAUUAUUUAUGUUUGAUUACCCAUGCAGAAGACAAGAAAGUUAAUUGUAUUUGCCAAUUGAGAUAUCUCUUCCUAUUAGGAGUUUGAACAUAAUUAAUUGUUAUUGUGUUUGACGACCCAUCUGAACGAGAAUGAAGUUUUUGACCUUUCUAUUU